rnacentral:misc_RNA from 1 species
AGAGAAUAAUUAAAGCGUUGCUGCUUGUUAUCAAUUAUAAAAUAUAGGUUGAGUUUCCUUUAACAGAGACUCAAUCACUGUUCUACAGUAUAUUUAAGACAACGAGUAUUAGAUAUACUGUAGAGAAAAAGUUCAAUAACAUUUUGAGAGAAGAAAGAAAUUAAAUCACCGAGAGAUC